GACGAACGCUGGCGGCGUGCUUAACACAUGCAAGUCGAACGGAAAGGCCCUGCUUUUGUGGGGUGCUCGGGUGGCGAACGGGUGAGGAACACGUGAGUAACCUGCCCUUGACUUUGGGAUAACUUCAGGAAACUGGGGCUCAUACCGGAUAGGAGCUCCUGCUGCAUGGUGGGGGUUGGAAAGUUUCGGCGGUUGGGGAUGGACUCGCGGCUUAUCAGCUUGUUGGUGGGGUAGUGGCUUACCAAGGCUUUGACGGGUAGCCGGCCUGAGAGGGUGACCGGCCACAUUGGGACUGAGAUACGGCCCAGACUCCUACGGGAGGCAGCAGUGGGGAAUAUUGCACAAUGGGCGGAAGCCUGAUGCAGCAACGCCGCGUGCGGGAUGACGGCCUUCGGGUUGUAAACCGCUUUCGCCUGUGACGAAGCGUGAGUGACGGUAAUGGGUAAAGAAGCACCGGCUAACUACGUG
rnacentral:rRNA from 1 species